rnacentral:rRNA from 1 species
UGCGUAGGCGGUUUGGUAAGUCAGAUGUGAAAUCCCGGGGCUCAACCCCGGAACUGCAUCCGAUACUGCCAGACUAGAGGACUGGAGAGGUGACUGGAAUUCUCGGUGUAGCAGUGAAAUGCGUGGAUAUCGAGAGGAACACUCGUGGCGUAAGCGAGUCACUGGACAGUAUCUGACGCUGAGGCACGAAGGCCAGGGUAGCGAAAG